AUACAGAGGUUGCAAGCGUUAAUCGGAUUUACUGGGCGUAAAGCGCGCGUAGGCGGCUAAUUAAGUCAAAUGUGAAAUCCCCGAGCUUAACUUGGGAAUUGCAUUCGAUACUGGUUAGCUAGAGUGUGGGAGAGGAUGGUAGAAUUCCAGGUGUAGCGGUGAAAUGCGUAGAGAUCUGGAGGAAUACCGAUGGCGAAGGCAGCCAUCUGGCCUAACACUGACGCUGAGGUGCGAAAGCAUGGGGAGCAAACAGGAUUAGAUACCCCAGUAGUCC
rnacentral:rRNA from 1 species